AUGUCUGAAGACGUUUUUGUUUGUCACAACUGGGGCAGUGAUACUGGCACUGAGUCGGUUGAUAUUGAAACCUACAUGGAUUUUGUAAGAAUUAAUAAAUGCCACAUAGUGAGCUUAAAAAUCAGUGUGUCAACAUCAGAAGUUGGGGGUGGCCGUAGCAGAGAGGCCUGUGGGGUCAGGAUAUCGGGGCUGCCCAUGGACCUGGAGCAGAGGGUGCACGAGCCACGGCACACUGACUUUGUGCUGGGGCUGGACGUGGGCAGUUCUGUGACGCUGCCACGUCUGUGACCAGGCUGCACGGGUUUGCGGCUCCAGCAAAGUUAGAAAGUCUUUAUCCUCAAAUUAGCCGGGUAGAAAUUGAUCCUGAUGUUCUUUGGAUUCAAUUUGUUGCUAUAUUAAAAGAAGCAGUCAAAGCUGCAGGAAUACAGAUCAAUCAGAUUGUUGGCCUUGACAUUUCAACACAGAGAGCAACUUUUAUUGCGUGGAACCAGAAAAUGGGAAAUCAUUUUCACAACUGUAUAAGUUGGCAAGACUUAAGAGCUGUUGAACUUGUAAAAUCUUGGAAUAAUUCUCUUCUAAUGACGCUAUUUCACAGUUCUUGCCAAGUGCUUCACUUUUUCACUGGAACUAAAUGAGUUUUUGCAGCCAGUUUGUUCACUUUCACAACCCAGCAGACUUCUUUGAGAUUGAUCUGCAUUUGACAGAACCUGAGCAAAAGGCAGCUGAAGAAGAAAAUUGUUGUUUUGAGACUAUUGAUACCUGGCUGUUAUAUAAGCUCACAAAAGGUUCUGUAUAUGCCAUAGAUUUUUCAAAUGCUAGUACAACUGGACAUUUUGACCCAUAUUAGAUGUGUUGGAGUGGGAUCAUUACCUCCUUAAUUUCAGUACCAUUUCUCUUGUACCUCCUGUGAGGGACAUAAGCCACAAUUUUGGAUCCUGGAGGAAGAGAUAUCUGGUGUGCCUGUACCACUAGGUGCCUUGGUUGCCGACCAGCAAUCAGCCAUGUUUGGAGAGGUGAUGUGAAACUUCCAGACAGGUGAUGUGAAACUGACCAUGGGAACUGGGACAUUUUUGGAUAUUAACACUGGAAAAAGCCUUCAACAGACUACUGAAAGUUUUUAUCCAUUAAUUCGGUGAAAGAUAGGGCAAGAAGUCAUAUGCUUAGGUGAAAGCAAGCAGGAGACACUGGUACUGCCACAAAAGGGACUUAACAGUUAGAGCUUUUCACAGAUGCUGCUGAGACUGAAAAAAUGGCCAAAAGUGCAGAGGAUUCUGAAGGAGUUUGUUUUGUUCCAUCUUCUAGUGGAUUACAGGCUCUAUUAAAUGACCUCUGGGCAUAUGCCUCUUUUAUGGGGUUUGAAGCCUUCCACCAGUAAUUACUAGCUCUUAAGAGCAAUAUUGAAGUCAGUAGCUUUCAGAAAUAGUUAUAUGAGAUGAUGCAGAAAGAGAUUCAUACACCUGUAAGAAAAAUGUGGGCAGAUGGAGGAGUCUGUAAGAACGAUUUUGUCAUGCAGAUGACUUCAGACCUGAUUAAAGAGAAUAUAGGCAGACAUUGACAUGUCAUUCCCGGGAGCAGCUUAUCUAGCUGGCCUUGCUAUUGGGUUUUGGACUAACAAGGAGGAACUAAAGAAACUGAGAUAAAGUGAAGUGGUUUUCAGGCCACAGAAGAAAUGUCAAGAAUUUGAAACAAGUAUGGAAAACUGGGCCAGAGCAGUGAAAUGCUCCAUAAGUUGGUAUAACAAGACAUAGCACUAAAUGAAAUGAUCAAAACCGUAGAUGGCUGAUUUAUGUGAUGUGCAGGUGAGAUAAAGCUCAGGGAUAACUAAUAUGACAAUGACUGAAAGGAGAAAAUUUUAAAUAGAAGCAUUGCUUUAAAAAAACAAAACAAAACAAAAACUCUUAUUUUUUCCCCUAAACCAUGGUAAGGCAGCAAUACCUCAAAACUUUAUAUCUUUUAUUUUGUAGCAAAUUCCAAAGGUCAUUAGUCAUUUCCAACCAUACUUUGACAGUUAUAGGUUCUCUUCCUUUUUAUACUGAGUCAGUGGUACACAGGAACAUAAUGAUUUUCCUUCCAAGCUAAUGGUUCUGGGUCAAGCACUGUGCACAUUGUUCCAAAACUAUGUGAAACGUAUUUCUUUAAUUCUUUAAAAUUAAGUGGGCUAUUUGAAGUACAUAUAGCUAAAAAGAAAGAAUGAGAAAAUGUGGAAUUUUGAAACAUUAAUAUUUUAUGUUUAAAGCCAUAAUUUUCUAAUAUUAUAUCCAAAUAUGAGAUUAGUAUGACCCUCUCAGACAAGCUUAUGAGUUAAUGCUUUCCUUUACUGGUCUUAAAGACACUGCCUUGAUUUUGCCUUGUUCAACCAAAAUCUGAGCAUUCUUUCUAUGUUGAAAACACUGAAAAACUAAUUUUAGUUAAUGAACUAAAAAGAAUAUUGAUUUUUAAGAAACAGAAAAAUACUACUUAUUUUCCUUCUCAAAUAACAUUUCUUUCAAAAACUUCUGGCUGAAGUAUAACAUGCUGUUAGUUAACGUAAAUCUUCCCUUUCUCUUGUUCUUUAUCUUUCUUCGUUGUUUAGAUGCUUAUAUGUCUUUUGUUUUUAUUAAGUGCCUAAUUGACAGAGCUUAAUUUGAAGAAAGUGCCCUAAUUUAUUGACCACUUAAGAAUUGUCUUUAUUGGGGUAUUUAUUUGUUCCUGCAUCUUUUUAUGUUUGUUCAGUCUACUCAUCCCUCUCAGUAUGUGCGGUGGAUAGCGGAUAGCGGAUAGAGGGGAGGAGAGUGCAUCUAUGCUCAGGAUUGCCCUUUGGCCACUUAGCCAGAGAUCCACAGGGAACAGCAGGGACAGUCUUAUGUUUUCAGACUUUCUUGCAAGAAACAGUGAAGAGGAGUAAGUUGUGAGUAGUGUCAAACUGGAUGUAGAAUUGUCCUAAGGCAGUUGAUCCCAUCUUCUAACCGGUUUUCACUUCAUUUGCCCCUCCCUACAUUUGGGGUAGGUUCCAUUUGGAUAUGCAGCAAUAAUGACUUUAUUUCUCUCUUGGUCAGGAUUUACCACAUAAAAUUCUUUUAUUAUAGAGCUAGCUAUUUUAGUUACAUAAUAAUCUAAAGGAGAGACUUAUAAUUUUGUCUUUGCUGUCAUAUAUGUCUAUUCUGGAGGCAGGUAUGAUAGAACUAGAAGUUAAAUUGCAUUUCUGCAAGUUCCAGUUAAAUAAACUUCAGGUAUCUUCUUAAUCUAAUUUUCUGAUGAAGGCAUUGUAGCAACUAUAUAUUAUCAUUAAAUCUACUAAUGAAGAUUUGGAAAUAUUUUUAUUAUUAAUAAAUAGAGGUGUUUUAUUUACUGUAAAAAAAGAGAGAGAAUUCACCGACACCUCCCCCUCCACACAUCCCAGCUUCCCAUUCCCCCACUCCGACUCUAGCUGUAGGAAUUAUUGUUCCUGGGCUGAGCUUGGUGGCUUAUGCCUGUAAUCCCAGCACUUUGGGAGGCCAAAGCAGGCGGAUCACUUGAGCUCAAAUAUUCAAGACUAGCCUGGCCAACAUGGUGAAACUCCCAUCUCUACUAAAAAUAUAAAAAUUAGCCAGGUGUAGUGGCAUGCACCCCCCGUUAAUCCCAGCUACUUGGGAAGCUGAGGCAUGCACAAGAAGCACUGGAACCCAGGAGGUGGAGGCUGCAGUGAGCUGAGAUCACACCACUGCACUGCAUCCUGGGCAACAAUGCAAAACUGUCUAAAAAAAAAAAAGAAAGAAAGAAAAUAAUUAUUGCUCCUUGGUUUAUGUCCCAAAUGGACUUUUGCAGCAAUAUAGUGACUUGGUAGUAAAGAUACAAGGCUGAAUUUGUAGUUGUCUAGACUUAAUUUAAUAUAGAGUAUCCAAUUUAUACCUUGUUUUUCAUGCUCUUCACUCUAAUGUCCUGGUAGGAUUGAAAUUGUAUCUAAAGUCUGUGCACACUGCUUGCCUAAGGCUACAGUAGACCUUUCUUCAAAUUUAAAUUAGCUGAAGGCUGGUUGUCCUGUAUGUGAAAAUGUAAUCAAACUAUCCUGAUUAGGCACAGGGCACAGCAAUUAGGUGAAUUAUCUGAAGUCCUUGCUUUUUAUCUGCUGACAUUUAUGAUUAGAAAGCUUUAAAGCAGUUAGAUUUCAUUAAUGGCAUCCAUUUGUAUCUUAUUACAGAAUGUCUGUUUCCUGCAACCCAAAGAAGCUGCUUUUCUUCUCCUUAUCUAAUAUUUAAGUUUGAAGAUGUAUUAAACAUACCUGUUAAAGGAACUGUACUGGCUGAGCGCAGUGGCUUACACAUGUAAUCCCAACACUUUGGGAGGUCAAGGCAAGAGGAUUGCUUGAGCUCAGGAGUUUGAGACCUGCGUGGGCAACAUAACAAGACCUUGUCUGUACAAUAAAACAAAAAAUUAGCUGAGUGUGGUAGUGGUCCAGGCCUGUGAUUCCACCUACUCAGGAGGCUGAGGUUGAGGCUGCGGUGAGUUGCACUCCAGCCUCGGUGGCAAAGCAGACCCUCUCUCAAAAAAAAGAGGAACAAUCUGCAGAAUAAGGGUUAGGCAUCUGUAGCCCUAGGUGUAAAUUUUCUGCUGCAGUCUCCAAAAGUGAUCUCUAUUAGCACAAGUUUCUUCUCUCUCCAUCUGUAGAUUAUGAAAAAAAAAAUUCUGAGUAAAGAUGCUAGGAGAACAUUCAUUUAUUAGAUGAAUUCCGUAUAGACAAAGUAUUUACCAAGAAACAAACCCAGGAGCGGGGGACGACCAGGUUGCUUGGUGAACUGGCUUGGGUCAGAAAUGGAGCAGGUCAAAACUCUUGUGCUAAUCAGUAGUGGGAUCAUGCCUGUGAAUAGCCAUUGCAUUCCAGCCUGACCAAAUAGCAAGAUUCCAUCUCUAAAAAGAUUUUUAAAAAAGAAAUAAGAUUUUUAUAUCCUUAAUUAUUAUAUAUAAUUAUAAUUAAGGAUAUAAUUAUAUCCUUAAUUAUAUAUAAUAAGAAUC